UGCCAGGCCGAGAUAGUAUCGAAUCUGUUUUUCUCACGUGGCCCGUUGCAGUGUGUGAUCGUCGAUUCGCGUCGUCGAGAAUAGGCAAUGCUUUGGGAGGUUUUUGGUGAUCGCUUAAAGUGCCCCAUGGUGGAAGAUGAUUACAUAACGUCACGCAAUCAACUGGCGGAAGCUUGCUUCGCUCUGGAUCAACUGGACCUAAAAUCGAGUACCGAUUACCUAGAGAAGAGCAUAGCUUCAUCUAAAACAAAGGUCACGAUACUUGCAUGCCGUUUCAAGCCCAAUAGAGAGAUGGUCUUCGAGAUAAUUUUUGAAUCUAUAUAGCGAUACUAGCAGAGCACUAACAGAAGAUCGGGCAACACCGAGUUACGAGAUCUAUGGAACGUCAACAAACUGAUCGAAAAUCUCUGGCAAUGC